rnacentral:rRNA from 1 species
AAAGGUUAAUUCCGGUGGCGGAUGGGCAUGCGUCGCAUUAGUUAGUUGGCGGUGUAACGGACCACCAAGACGACGAUGCGUAGGGGUUCUGAGAGGAAGGUCCCCCACACUGGUACUGAGACACGGACCAGACUCCUACGGGAGGCAGCAGUGAGGAAUAUUGGUCAAUGGGCGGGAGCCUGAACCAGCCAAGUCGCGUGAGGGAUGACGGCCCUAUGGGUUGUAAACCUCUUUUGCCGGGGAGCAAAGUGCCGCACGUGUGCGGUUUGGAGAGUACCCGGAGAAAAAGCAUCGGCUAACUCCGUGCCAGCAGCCGCGGUAAUACGGAGGAUGCGAGCGUUAUCCGGAUUUAUUGGGUUUAAAGGGUGCGUAGGCGGACGCUUAAGUCAGCGGUAAAAUUGCGGGGCUCAACCUCGUCGAGCCGUUGAAACUGGGUGCCUUGAGUGGGCGAGAAGUACGCGGAAUGCGUGGUGUAGCGGUGAAAUGCAUAGAUAUCACGCAGAACUCCGAUUGCGAAGGCAGCGUACCGGCGCCCAACUGACGCUGAAGCACGAAGGCGUGGGUAUCGAACAGGAUUAGAUACCCUGGUAGUCCACGCAGUAAACGAUGAAUGCUAGUUGUCCGGGGCGAUUGAGUUCUGG